GUGACCGUUCAGCUUCUUCUCUCUCGUGCGAACGACGGUGCUAUGAACAUCCUCCGAUUGCUCUCCGGCCACCGGCGACUAGCUUCCCCUCUCUCACCUUCUCUUCGCUCACAUACCUCUCGAUUCAAGCUUCGCCACGAUUCAUGCUUCACCUCGUUUCUGACUUGACUCAACUCUCACUCUCCUCUUCGCCUGCGAUGAAAGUCGUUGUGAAUGUGAAGCCGACACAGUGGUGAUGUCGUUGUUCGUUGUUGAUGGACGCUGGGCGUUGUUGCAAAGCGUUGAGGAUGACGAUGCUGAAUGAACGCGGUGGUUGAAGAUUGUUAUGCAGGGGAGACUCAAAUGAUGAAUCGGUGAUGAUGAUGAACGUAAUGCUGUUGCAAAGUUCUCGAAGAUGCAGAAUCGCAGAAUCACGUGAUGCCAGAGUGAUGAAUCAAAACAAUGAAGGCGAAGGUGAUGUUUAUCUAUUCUUGCUGUUAGCCACGAGGAUCGAUAUCAAAAGGUGAAGAACUGAGUCGUGAUCUUGAAUAACUCCGGUUGAAGAAGAGAGCAAGGUCGAAGAUUGAUGCAGAGAGGAAGAUGAAGAUUUUUCGGUUGUUCAGAUUUUUUUGAGAGUGAGAGGAUGAUAAGAGAUGAAGAUGGUGAUGGAAACUGAAGGUUGGUGAACAAAAAUGGUGAAGGUUCAGGUGAUGCAGGGUGAGGAAGAGAGUGAAGAUGAUGAAUGGGAGUGAAGGAUACAAGGGAAAUGGUUGAAGAAACUCUUUGAAGUGUAGUGAUUCUGAUUUAUAGAGGUUUUCAACAAAUGAAGAUGGAGAAAGUGGCUGCAGGCUUGGUACAAGGAGUUUAGCAUGAGGACUGGUGUAGUUCUGGAAGUGAAGAAGAAUUGGUGACUUAGAGCUUUGAUCAUGGAGAAAGAAAGUGAUAAAGAUUUUGAAAAGUGAUAGGUUUAUGAGAGUUAACUUGUAAAAGAAAGUCAAAGGGUCAAAUGUAUUCUUAUUGUAACUUUCUAUGUAAUUCUAUUUGGAUGUUUGUAAUAGAUUUUGAAUGGAACUUGAAUGGAUAAUUGUAAUGAGCUUUUGUGAUCUUUUUGUAAUGGAUUUGGAUGGAAUGUAAUGGUAUUGUAUGAACCUUGGAAGAAUUUGAUGAUGUAUAGAACUUGAUUUUUGUAAUGAAAUUGGGAAUUUAUAAUGAAUGGAUUCUUUUGAAGUAUUUGAAUGGUGGAACUUGAAU